GUGGCUCCAUAUCUAUAUCUUUUCAGGGUACAUACAUCUACCUCUGUGCCAAAUUCGGUGCUUUAAUCACAAAGUGUACUAUUUGUGAUGGUAAAACACAGAAAUCAUGUUACAUAGAUUUUUUUUGUUGGUAAUCAUGGUAAAAAAGAAAAUCGGUAACUAGUUGCUUGAUAAAGUUCACGAGUCAAAUCAUUUGUUUUUGAUAAAACACUGUUCUGUUGCAUCCACAGGUCAAGAAGGCUGUCUUGGAGUGACCAUCAUUGGAGAGAUCAUAGUCAAAAAUGCUACGUUUGAUAAAGAAUGUACAUAUACUAUAGUCUAUAUUUGGGGUCAUUUACUUAAAACUGGAAAAACAUUGGAUAUAGAGAAUUUAAAUAUCCUCACUGAAAAUUAAUGGCCGUUUUCGAUUAUUGAAUUGUAAUUCCAAUUAAUAUCCUGCAUUGACUUAACUUUUAACUGAAUUGUUAACUUCACUUAUCAUUGUCUUCGUGUAGCGGGAUGCGACCAGGCCGGACUUGACAAGAACUUGAAGGUAUACUACCAUGCAGCUGAAAUAGAUGGGUGACUCGUCUGUGUCUCUCCCUGUGCCUCUGGCCACAACAGGACAAAGCACUGUAACACCAGUACCUGUAGUAUGUCACGGGCCGGACCAGUCUGCGGAUCCACUAUCCACACAGCUGUAACAAGGACUACUGGUACCGAGACUCUGCAUGUUACGGCCCCAUCCUGAAGCGAGACAUCUUUGCUGCGUUACUGACUCUGGCAAGACUGGUGAUAGCAGCCAUGGGGGUCGUGGUGGUCUACAUGCCCUGGCAUAGACGACAAUCCCGCAGAGAAUGACCCUAACCCACAUUAUGGUGGCUGAGUGGGCUUGCAGUACGAGGCAGAGGGAGACUCCUCCAACUUCUCCCUACCAUGGAACACAGGCACAGGUGUCCAGGGAGAGGUUUGAGACCAUCUACCAC
rnacentral:lncRNA from 8 species